UCGCUCCUACCGAUUGAAUGAUCCGGUCAAUUCUUCGAAGACGUUGUAGUUUUAAGAAAUUAUAAAUUGCCAAUUAUCAAAGUUGAGUAAACCUUAUCAUUUAGAGGAAGGAG
rnacentral:rRNA from 1 species